GAACUUUCCAGAGAUGGAUUGGUGCCCUUCGGGAACUCUGAGACAGGUGCUGCAUGGCUGUCGUCAGCUCGUGUUGUGAAAUGUUGGGUUAAGUCCCGCAACGAGCGCAACCCUUAUCCUUUGUUGCCAGCGGUUAGGCCGGGAACUCAAAGGAGACUGCCAGUGAUAAACUGGAGGAAGGUGGGGAUGACGUCAAGUCAUCAUGGCCCUUACGAGUAGGGCUACACACGUGCUACAAUGGCGCAUACAAAGAGAAGCGACCUCGCGAGAGCAAGCGGACCUCAUAAAGUGCGUCGUAGUCCGGAUUGGAGUCUGCAACUCGACUCCAUGAAGUCGGAAUCGCUAGUAAUCGUGGAUCAGAAUGCCACGGUGAAUACGUUCCCGGGCCUUGUACACACCGCCCGUCACACCAUGGGAGUGGGUUGCAAAAGAAGUAGGUAGCUUAACCUUCGGGAGGGCGCUUACCACUUUGUGAUUCAUGACUGGGGUGAAGUCGUAACAAGGUAAGCGUAGUGCU
rnacentral:rRNA from 1 species